rnacentral:rRNA from 1 species
UACGUAGGGUGCGAGCGUUGUCCGGAAUUAUUGGGCGUAAAGAGCUCGUAGGCGGUUUGUCGCGUCGGCCGUGAAAACUUGGGGCUUAACCCCAAGCCUGCGGUCGAUACGGGCAGACUUGAGUUCGGCAGGGGAGACUGGAAUUCCUGGUGUAGCGGUGAAAUGCGUAGAUAUCGGGAGGAACACCGGUGGCGAAGGCGGCCUUCUGGACGGAUACUGACGCUGAGACGCGAAAGCUAGGGGAGCGAACAGG